UGGGGAAUUUUGCGCAAUGGGGGAAACCCUGACGCAGCAACGCCGCGUGAGUGAGGAAGGCCUUCGGGUUGUAAAGCUCUGUCGUGGGGGACGAAAAAGAUGACGGUACCCCACAAGAAAGCCCCGGCUAACUACGUGCCAGCAGCCGCGGUAAAACGUAGGGGGCGAGCGUUGUCCGGAAUUACUGGGCGUAAAGGGCGUGUAGGCGGGCAGCCAAGUCCGGUGUGAAAGGCCCCGGCUCAACCGGGGAAUAGCACGGGAAACUGGUUGUCUUGAGGGCAGGAGAGGGAAGCGGAAUUCCAGGUGUAGCGGUGAAAUGCGUAGAUAUCGGGAGGAACACCAGUGGCGAAGGCGGCUUCCUGGCCUGGCCCUGACGCUGAGGCGCGAAAGCGUGGGGAGCAAACA
rnacentral:rRNA from 1 species